rnacentral:rRNA from 1 species
GACGAACGCUGGCGGCGUGCUUAACACAUGCAAGUCGAACGGAAAGGCCCUGCUUUUGUGGGGUGCUCGAGUGGCGAACGGGUGAGUAACACGUGAGUAACCUGCCCUUGACUUUGGGAUAACUUCAGGAAACUGGGGCGAAUACCGGAUAGAAGCUCCUGCUGCAUGGUGGGGUUGGAAAGUUUCGGCGGUUGGGGAUGGAAUCGCGGCUUAUCAGCUUGUUGGUGGGGUAGUGGCUUACCAAGGCUUUGACGGGUAGCCGGCCUGAGAGGGUGACCGGCCACAUUGGGACUGAGAUACGGCCCAGACUCCUACGGGAGGCAGCAGUGGGAAAUAUUGCACAAUGGGCGGAAGCCUGAUGCAGCAACGCCGCGUGCGGGAUGACGGCCUUCGGGUUGUAAACCGCUUUCGCCUGUGACGAAGCGUGAGUGACGGUAAUGGGUAAAGAAGCACCGGCUAACUACGUG